GGGAUAGACUUUAUUGUAGCAAACUAGGGGAUUUUUUAUGUCAACAGUAAGAAAGCUUUGAUGCAUAAUGUCUAGACUAUGAGAAGGGAUUCCAGUUACUUCAAAUAAACUUUUGCAGACAUUCUUCUAAAAAAAUAUACCGUUUUACACAAGGAGUUGGUCCAACAACAGCCAUUUACUAAGAACCACCACUGCAACAAAUUAUAUUUAUGAUAUGAC
rnacentral:lncRNA from 1 species